AUGCAGUUGCACUUUGAGAACAUCUUGGACCCGGAGGGGGCUGUUGUGCUGCGGAUGUUGCUUUCUUCUGGGAGCAUUGGAUAUCAGUUGAGACUUUGUCGCAUGAUAAUGAUGCCUAUCUCAAUGAUGAGAGACUGGUGCUUGUACGUGUUUGACAUGCAUAUGAAGAAACUGAAUGUCCUCGACCCAGUUUUCACGCAGAUGGGUUCGGAUGCGUAUAGAGCUAAGCACGGGAAGACAAUCAUGUUGAUGCUUAAUGGUAUGAAGUGCGCAGGUGCGCUGUUAGACAAUGGAUGGCAGAUGGACAUAUCACAGUGGACCGUGAGGUACAACAUGAACAUGCAUGUUGCAUGUGGAAGUGGUUAG
rnacentral:rRNA from 1 species